UACGUAGGGUGCGAGCGUUGUCCGGAAUUAUUGGGCGUAAAGAGCUUGUAGGCGGUUUGUCGCGUCUGCUGUGAAAAUCCGGGGCUCAACCCCGGACUUGCAGUGGGUACGGGCAGACUAGAGUGUGGUAGGGGAGACUGGAAUUCCUGGUGUAGCGGUGAAAUGCGCAGAUAUCAGGAGGAACACCGAUGGCGAAGGCAGGUCUCUGGGCCACUACUGACGCUGAGGAGCGAAAGCGUGGGGAGCGAACAGGAUUAGAUAC
rnacentral:rRNA from 1 species